GACGUGCAAAGGCAGAAGCUUGGAUCGUGACUUUUCUGACGACGUUUGUCAUCGACUUGUUUCUCACGCAACCUUUCAAGCUGUUGGCCGUGGCCGUGAUGUUUGGUUUACUUGCAAAGAAGCCUGUGGAAGACGAGGAUCCUCCACCAGCUUCACUACAAAACGACGAGGAAUAUCUUCAGACAAACCAAGACAGCCCCAACCCUUUGACGACGGCAAAAAGAUGGAAGCUUUAUUUUAACGAGGACGCA